GACGAACGCUGGCGGCGUGCUUAACACAUGCAAGUCGAACGGAAAGGCCCCUUUGGGGGUACUCGAGUGGCGAACGGGUGAGUAACACGUGAGUAACCUGCCCUUGACUUCGGGAUAACUUCAGGAAACUGGGGCUAAUACCGGAUAGGAAUCCUUGCUGCAUGGUGGGGGUUGGAAAGCUUCGGCGGUUUUGGAUGGACUCGCGGCUUAUCAGCUUGUUGGUGGGGUAGUGGCUUACCAAGGCUUUGACGGGUAGCCGGCCUGAGAGGGCGACCAGCCACAUUGGGACUGAGAUACGGCCCAGACUCCUACGGGAGGCAGCAGUGGGGAAUAUUGCACAAUGGGCGGAAGCCUGAUGCAGCAACGCCGCGUGCGGGAUGACGGCCUUCGGGUUGUAAACCGCUUUCAGCAGGGGCGAAGCUUGUGGUGACGGUACCUGCAGAAGAAGCACCGGCUAACUACGUG
rnacentral:rRNA from 1 species